AAGCCUUGCUGUAUCUUUAAUGUGCUUCUUCUUCAUCUUUUGAGCCUGCAUUAUAUAACUGCGUGAGGCUUGCAACUAUCACAUGGUAAAGGGAACAUUGCAAGGGGGUAAAUACCUUACGUCAGCGUUCAAAAUCCCAAAGUGGCACACUUUAAUAUGCUGGCACCACACAUCGCCCGAACACGCGCGGGGACCUGUACUCAAUAAAGUUCAAGUGACCAUAAACUAAGCAACGUCGCUCGUUUUGUGUUGCCCCAGCGCGUCUGCUCUGCCAUAGCUUAACCGUCGCUAAACCGAAACCAUACGCUGGCAAGUUGCUCAGUGAUAUCCUACUCUGAAACACUAAUAUUCCGAGAACUCGCAGUUGUUUGGAAUCUGUAAUUUCGUAUUGUGCAUUUUGAGAGCGAUCUUGAACGCUGAGCUAUAUCGCGGCCUACCUCUCCCCCCGCCCACCACAAUGAAUCGCAUGCGAAUACGUCUCAUCAUGGAAUGCCUUUCAGGCGGACUAUGCAUGAAAUGAACAAGCUUAGCUCCACUACAAAGAUGGCAAACAGAAAACCUUAUUGGGAUCUUGUACGGGAAUCCCGACAGUGUCCGCGUCUUCCACUUCUGAUGCUCGUACUUUGGGUAUCCUGAGACGCUUCCUUCCCAGUUUCUCUUUCAAUUCUUCCUCAGUUUCUAAUAUAAAAUAUUGGUUAACGACAGCAAAAACACAACUAACGCUCUCACCUGCUACCAUCAGAACGAGAAUAGAGUACAUUCCGCUCAGCGUUUCGUCGUCGGGGUCUUCCCAGUAUGCACAGUACACUUUGUUUGGGUCGAACUUAUUUGCGUCGUCGGGGAAAUCCACAAUGUUCUUAACAGGAAUCGUGUAAUUCCUGUCGUCGAACUGCUUGACAAAGCGUACCAGCGCAAACAUCGCUGAGCAAGUUAACGAACAGUUUUUUCGUGAUGCUACUCUUCCUGACAUACACAAAACCGCAACCACCGCAUCCGCGGGUUUUGAAAGUGUCGUGACAUGGCCGUGCGUAGUACGGUAUGUCGAGCGGUCCGGCGUGAAUUUCCGACAUGAAACUUUGCGACAGGCUACAAACAUGUGAAAAGAUUUGUAGCAAAAAACAAAAAUAUUAGCGAAAAUACAGAUGUUUUUAUGUGCGAAGAGAAGAGAUAAAGGGAAUUCACGAAAAAGGCUCAUCGGCAUCAUCGGAAUUGCUAACACAAAUAGCGUCUGCUGCCAUAUCUGCUGCGCAGUCUGCAGUUUACCUGAGUUGCCUUUUUUAUCUUCGAUAUUUCGUGUCUUGCUCAUUUAGUUACGACUUUAUUGUGCCCAUUUGGAAAGUUAGUUGGUUCAUUCAAUCCAUAUCUCACCCUCUUUCAACUUUUCGUCAUAUAUCUACAUGAUACUUCGCUGCAAGCUCAUCAAUGUCAACUCGCCAGAACAAGCCUCGCAAGAGGUACCUGGAACCAAGUUCUGCAGAUGCGGAAAUGCCAAGGUCUACAAGGUACAACCUUAAUAGUUCGGAAGCGGUUGCUUCGGGCUCUACAUUUGCUCCUCAUGACUCAGAGGCAACUGUGACCGAGGAAGACGAUGAUCAAAGCAACGCAAACAGCUCAACCGCACCUGAUGAGCCACAAAGUAGUCGUCCCUUUGUGCCACUUUUUAACAUAUCACUGUACGAAAGGAGCCCUUUCUCCGUAGGGGAUGCCCUUGUUUUGAUAAUGGACUUUGUCAUGAAACACAAGCUAACAUGGUCAGCAUCUCAAGAUCUUCUGAAGUUAGUGAACAAACUAAUUGGGAAGGAUUCCCUCCCCGACUCCGUAUAUCUGUUCAAGAAGUUUUGUGACGCGUCACCGACUGAUAUGACUUUUCAUUUUUACUGUAAUGACUGCGAAACCAUACUGUGCACAACAAGUGGGAAUUUGAGAGAGAGAAAUAGUAUUGCACCAACGUGCUCAAACUGCAAGGAGCAACACCUUGGAAAGAACCUCACGGCAAAAGGACAUUUCUUCGUAAGUCUCCCUCUAAAAACUCAACUGGAAUCACUUCUUGCCGAUGGGGACAUGUCACAGCAGCUCAAGCAGUCAUUAGACAAGCAAGAAGUGACAAACGUCAGCAAUAAACCGAUGUCUGACAUCACAGAUCGUUCUACAAAAGGCAGCGAGAAAAACUGAAGUGCAGCAAGUAUGACAUCACUGUUACACUUAACACAGACGGCAGUACAACGUUCAAAAGUAGCAACUACUCUAUAUGGCCUGUGCAAGUACUGAUAAAUGAACUUCCUCCAUAUUACCGAUGGACAAGCCCUUCUGUGCCACUUCUCUGGUAUGGCAAUAAACACCCAAACAUGUUUCUCAUACUUGGAGCAUUUGCAAAGGAUAUGGAAGUGUUUGGCAGAACAUGGGAUUCAAUGGAGCAGUGAAGGACAGCGGAUCAUAUCGAAGGUAUAUUGUAUAACAUGUGUUGCUGAUGCACCUGCAAGAGCAGGGAUGAUGAACAUGGUACAGUAGAAUGGGUACUUCUCAUGCCCAUGGUGUCUCCACGCUGGUUCCUGCAUUGAGGGGUACGUGAAGUUUCCAGUGACAGAUGGGCCAGCUGCAGAGAGGACAGAGCUUUCCAUGAUUCAAGACAUGAGGACAGCUGCUUCGACCGCCCAGAUCGUGCAUGGCGUAAAGGGACCAUCACCAAUGCUUACAGUGCCUGGCAUAAACAUUAUUGAAAGUUUCGUGCCAGAUUAUAUGCAUGCUUGUUUGCUUGGUACGGUGAGGCAAAUCACAGACCUCUGGUUCAGUGCUGUAGGUGCAGAAUAUUACAUUGGUACACCGCAGAAGCGAGAAAAGGUUGAUGCAAUACUCCAACGUCUCAGGCCACCAUCCUGCUUCACAAGAUGCCCAAGAAGUGUGAAGCAGAGGGCACUUUGGAAGGCUGGAGAGUGGCAGUCAUGGUUGCUCUACUUUUCUCUUCCUUGCAUUCAUGGCGUCUUACCGAGUGGCUAUUGUGAGCAUUUUGCUCUAUUAGUGCGCGGAAUCUACCUGCUGAUCAAAAGUGAAGUAACUGGACGAUGAAGACGAUGUCAGGGAAAGUGGUGAAAAGCUCACCAAAUUUGUUGUCAUGAUGCAGUACCUUUAUCAUGAAAGGGAGAUGAAAUCAAAUGUACACACUUUACUUCACUUCACAAAAUAUAGUGUCAUGCUGCACGGCCCUCUAUAUGCAAUCUCAUGUUUUGCUUUUGAAACCAACAUGGGACAUUUCUUAGAGCUUGUGUCAUCAUCAAAUGGAGUACCGCUGCAGAUUUUUUCACGCAUUUUAAUGCGCAAUAACUUCUAUCAGUUAAGAAGUUUGGCAUCAGAAAGUGCACGCAGCUUGUGCUGCCAUAAGAAGCCAGCCUCUGACGUGAUUCAACCAUUAGGCAAGCCAAAACCAAUUUCUCAAGAAAUAAUUGACUUGUUGUGUACUUACUUCUGACAUGUGCAAGACAUGAAGGAAUAUGAUCGUGUCUCAAUUGGAGGCUGCAUUAUCCACAACACACGGUAUUCUCGAGCAUCUAAACGGGAUUCAACAUCAUUCCAUUCUAGAGAUUGCUACCUAAGGGCUGAAAACAUUAUUAUACGUUCAUAUCAGGAGGAAAUGAGUGUCUAUGUAGUAUCGUAUAAGUACACAGCUGCAUUUUGCAGCAUGGACCAUGUGAGGAAGGCACGGUAACGAGAAUCAAAGUGGGUGCAUCAACUCAGCAAAGAUAUCAGACCCUGUGUGUACAUAUCCAUUGAGGAAGCAAUAUUUUUUGUUCGACUAUGCAACAGGUAUGAAUGGACAUAAAAUACGCUCGGAGGCAGAAUGAGGAACAAUAGAACUGAGCCAUUGUAAUUAUUCUCAGAACCUCUAGUUGCAUUGUAAUAAUCUUGUAAAUACAAUUGCAGUGUAAUGCAAAUUUUCAUGUAUGGUAUACCAAACACAAAUUUGUUGGGAGAUUCAUUUAUUCAUUCUUGCACACACCGUUUCCUCUUCGUAAGUCCAAUUAUGAACGCCACACACUGACGCAUUUGUCGACUUCUCUUGGAGCCUCUGUUUCCAUACACGUUUUAGCAGAUUCGAGAACACGGAGGAGUUGAUGUUCAUUUAGUAAUGCAGUUAUGUUUACUUGUUUUAAAUUUGUCGAAUUUCGGAAUUUAGCUUUUCUAAACGUUGGGGUGGGGUUCUCAAGCAAAUGUGUCGGUUUGUGCAAUACUCUUUUGUAUAUUGUCAUACGUACCCUAGUUUCUGUGUUCUCUAUUAUUAUAUGAUGAAUAAAUCAUAUUUUUUAAAGACAACAACUGAA